AUCUGUCACCUAGUGGAGACGCCCCCUUGCUGCCGGCUAUGUGAUUCCCCGCUGAGAUGCGCACAGUGGCCCCAGCAUGGCAGAGACAUCUCGGGAACUGCCCCUCAGCACUCUCACCGCCAGUACCCGGAGAGCCCUCCGCAUCCGUGCCCGGCAGGCCAGGGAAGCCAAGCUGUCAGUACUCAGCAAGGUUUGCUACGCCAUUGGGGGAGCCCCUAAUCAGGUGUCAGGAAGCGCAUCAGCCUUCUUUCUGCAGAUCUACCUCUUAGAUGUGGCGCUGAUCUCACCCUAUCAAGCCUCUUUGGUCCUGUCCCUUGGAAAAACCUGGGGUGGAAUUACAGAUCCUAUUGUGGGCUACUGCAUAAGCAAAAGCAAAUGGACACGGAUUGGUCGAUUGAUGCCCUGGAUGUUGGGGUGCACACCCUUCCUGGUAGUGUCCUAUUUCCUCUUGUGGUUUGUCCCCACUUUCGAGACUGGGAGAGUCCUGUGGUACCUGGCAUUCUUCAGCUGCUUCCAAGCACUCAGCACUGCUUACCAUGUCCCAUACACCACCCUUACCAUGUUCCUUAGCACAGACCAGAUGGAGAGGGAUUCCGCCACGGCCUACAGAAUGACUGUGGAGGUUCUGGGCACAUUGAUUGGGGCGGCGGUCCAAGGGCAGAUAGUAGCCAGCGCUCACACUGGGUCUCACUGCAAUGUGACCAAUAUGACUGGGAACCUGACAGCAGAUUUUCUGUAUGAACCUACAGAGUACAUCACGUCUGCAAGGCAAGUCUACAUGAUAGCGGCAGGGAUCAUUGGCUGCCUGUAUCUCCUAUGCAUCUCUGUACUUUUCCUCGGAGUUAAGGAAAGAGACGACCCGUACGCCCUGGUCGCUGGGAAGGUUAUUCCAUUUUUUAAAGGAUUCCGAGAGACGAUGCAGUUCGGGCCCUACCUGAAUCUGAUAAGUUCGUUUCUCCUCAUCUCGGCGGCUGUUCAGAUUCAACAGAGCAAUUUUGUCCUUUUUUGCACACAUGCUGCAGAUCUGCAAGAUCACUUUCAGAACCUGGUGCUGACCAUCCUGAUUGCUGCUGUGCUGAGCAUUCCUUUCUGGCAGUGGUUUUUGCAAAAGUUUGGGAAGAAAAUGGCAGCCUUUGGAAUUUCUCUGAUGAUCCCAUUUUCCAUCAUGUUGGUGACUAUUUCCAGCCUUGUUGUUGCCUACGUUGUGGCUGUAGCCUCCGGCCUAAGCAUUGCUGCGUCACUGCUCCUCCCAUGGCAUUCCUGCUGGACUUCCUGGAUUCCUUCAGGAGCUGUAAUUCAGUCACAGAUGAGGAAAUUGUUGUGUCGAUUAAAAAAAUUACCUAAGUCACCCACAUUACCCACAUAGAUUAAACCUAGAAGAACUAAAGCUUCUGAAUGUGCCAUCCCUUACUAUGAUAUAGAGAUUGUGACCUUCAGGGGUACAAAACACUAUGUAUGACCAGUAUCUCAUGAUGAUUUAUCCUCCUCUUCAAUGUCCCCAGGUCGAUGCUUCCUGAUGUAGUGGAUAAUUUCCGACUUACCAAUCCACAAGGGAAGGGGCUUGAAGCCAUCUUCUACUCCUCGUUUGUGUUUUUCACCAAGCUCUCUGCUGGGAUUGCCUUAGGAAUAUCGACACUGAGCCUUCAAUUUGCGGACUACAACACGUCCCUGUGCAAGCAGUCGUACAGCGUAGUGCUUACUCUGAAGCUGCUGAUUGGCGCAGCCCCUGCUCUCAUGAUUAUUAUAGGCUUAACCAUACUGGCCUUCUACCCAAUCACAGAAGACACGAGGAAGGAAACAGAGUUGGCUCUCGAUGUCAUACGCAUGCGGACUCGGCGAUCCACUCUUAUUGUUAUCUGACAUCACUGGGUUCUACCUUCACGGGGACUCUGAACGAUAUGCUGCUCUUAGAAGUCUUGUGAGUCGGGCUGGUUUGUGAAACAUGUUCAUGCUAUCCGCCAUCUUGAGUGGAUAGUCAUCACUUCACCUCGAAAGAAAGCCAAAGCGACUCCUGAAUCCCUUCUCACUGAAAGCUAUUCGCUUGGCUGGGAGGAUAUCAGCUUGGGGUAUCAAUAUAUUCGGAAAGAAUCAUCCAGCAGAUCUGUUUUUGAUGGAACUUUUUUGAAUAAAAGCACAAGACUGUUACUCAAUACAUUUUAUUCUUAUUCUGCUUGUAUGAAUAUAUUUUAAUACUGAUUAAUAUAUGAAUAUUAAAGAUUAAAUCUCUAGUGUAUAUCUAGGAACUAA